rnacentral:rRNA from 1 species
AUUGAACGCUGGCGGAAUGCUUUACACAUGCAAGUCGAACGGCAGCACGGGGCAACCUGGUGGCGAGUGGCGAACGGGUGAGUAAUACAUCGGAACGUGCCCAAUCGUGGGGGAUAACGUAGCGAAAGUUACGCUAAUACCGCAUACGAUCUACGGAUGAAAGCGGGGGAUCGCAAGACCUCGCGCGAAUGGAGCGGCCGAUAUCAGAUUAGGUAGUUGGUGGGGUAAAGGCUCACCAAGCCAACGAUCUGUAGCUGGUCUGAGAGGACGACCAGCCACACUGGAACUGAGACACGGUCCAGACUCCUACGGGAGGCAGCAGUGGGGAAUUUUGGACAAUGGGCGCAAGCCUGAUCCAGCCAUUCCGCGUGCAGGAUGAAGGCCUUCGGGUUGUAAACUGCUUUUGUACGGAACGAAACGGUCUGCCCUAAUACGGCAGGCUAAUGACGGUACCGUAAGAAUAAGCACCGGCUAACUACGUG